CUCCGGGGUAGGGCCGGGGGCCUCGCCGACCCCCGCCUCCCAGAUGGGAGGCCCCGAAGGCGUAAAGCGGGGGCCAGCAACCCCCUCACACCAGCACGGGCCUCCGGAGGCUCCGGAGGGCGACAAUGAACCCCGUCCCGCGGGGCUGGCGGGGGUGGGCAGCCCGCUGGAGGGCGGGCUGAAGCCGCCCUAACCGGGGCCACCCGGCGAGGCCCGGAAGGGAGCAGCCGACCCCGGCCGUCCAGCGUUCGCGGGGGCGCGGGGGGAGGAGCCCUCCGGGAUACAGCCUGCGGAAGGCCCCUCUGCUGCUGUGAGGGGGGUCC
rnacentral:SRP_RNA from 1 species